GGGAAGUGGGCGCGGCCCGCGGGAGCGCCGGGCCCGUGAGGGGGAAGACGGAGGGAGCGGGAGAAAGAUCGUGCUGAGCUUCAAGGACCUGCCAGGACCUGACCCCAGAGCACCAAACUGCACAGCUGGACCCCAAAACUGCACAGCUGCACCCCAAAAUGCACAGCUGGACCCCAAAAUGCACAGCUGGACCCCAAAACUGCACAGCUGGACCCCGAAAUGUGCACCUGGACCCCAAAAUGCACAGCUGGACCCCGAAAUGUGCACCUGAACCCCGAAAUGCACAGCUGGACCCCAAAAUGCACACCUGGACCCCAAAACUGCACAGCUGGACCCCAAAAUGCACAGCUGAACCCCAAAAUGCACAGCUGGACCCCAAAACUGCACAGCUGGACCCAAAACUGCACAGCUGGACCCCAAAAUGUGCACCUGGACCCCAAAACUGCACACCUGAACCCCAAAACUGCACAGCUGGACCCCAAAAUGCACACCUGGACACCAAAACUGCACAGCUGGACCCCAAAUGUGCACCUGGACCCCAAAUAUGCACCUGGACCCCAAAACUGCCCAACUGGACCCCAAAUGUGCACCUGGACCCCAAAACUGCCCAGCUGGACCCUGAAAUGCACACCUGGACCCCAAAACUGCACAGCUGGACCCCAAAAUGCACAGCUGAACCCCAAAAUGCACAGCUGGACCCCAAAACUGCACAGCUGGACCCCAAAAUGCGCACCUGGACCCCAAAACUGCACAGCUGGACCCCAAAAUGCACAGCUGGACCCCAACAUGCACAGCUGGACCCCAAAACUGCACAGCUGGACCCCAAAAUGCGCACCUGGACCCCAAACUGCAGACCUGAACCCCAAAACUGCACAGCUGGACCCCAAAAUGCACACCUGGACACCAAAACUGCCCAGCUGGACCCCAAAUGUGCACCUGGACCCCAAAACUGCACAGCUGGACCCUGAAAUGCACACCUGAACCCCAAAAUGCACACCUGGACCCCAAAAUGCACAGCUGGACCCCAAAAUGUGCACCUGGACCCCAAAAUGCACAGCUGGACCCCAAAAUGCACACCUGGACCCCAAAAUGUGCACCUGGACACCAAAACUGCACAGCUGGACCCCAAAAUGCACAGCUGGACCCCAAAACUGCACAGCUGGACCCCAAAAUGUGCACCUGGACCCCAAAAUGCACAGCUGGACCCCAAAAUGCACAGCUGCACCCCAAAAUCCUAUCAAACACCCCAUAAAGCCUGAACCCCCAAACCUGGAGGUACCCGAAGUGCACCUGAACCCGAGGGGGUUCGGGACCCCCGUGUUUGGGGUUUUGGAGUGUCCCUGGUCGUGGCCCCACUUUUGGGGUUCUCCCAGGGCUGUCACCCCCUGUUUUAGGGGUUUUGGGGUUCGCAGAGCUGUGACCCCCCAUUUUUGGGGUUUUGGGGUGUCCCUGGGUGGUGUUUGGGGACCCCAGGGCUGUGACCCCUCCUUUUGGGGUUUUGGGGUGUCCCAGGGCAGUGACUCCCCUGUUUUAACCCCCCCAGAUGGAAGCCCCCCCCCCUUUGUCCCCAAAUGGGGGUCCCCAAAACCGGGAGGGGGUCCCCAAAAUCCCCUGAAGGGGCCCCAACCCCCCAAGGUUUCGUUGUAAAAGAGUUUGGGACAAAUCAAUAAAGUUUGGGGGAAAAUCCGAA